rnacentral:hammerhead_ribozyme from 1 species
GUACUGCUGAAGAGUCCCAAACUAGGCGGACGAAACAGCAGCUUUCCAGUAC